rnacentral:tRNA from 1 species
GAGUAAGAAGCAAAUAUUGCAUUCAAUUUCGACUUGAAAGUUUGAUAGAAUAGUUAUCCCUACUCU